GGAGGGGUGCCUGAGUGGUUGAAGGGGCUGGUCUCGAAAACCGGUAAGGGCGCAAGCUCUUCGCGAGUUCGAAUCUCGCCCCCUCCG
rnacentral:tRNA from 1 species